rnacentral:rRNA from 1 species
GUGAAAUUCCGUCGGAAUCUGGGAGGACCAUCUCCUAAGGCUAAAUACUCUCUAGUGACCGAUAGUGAACCAGUACCGUGAGGGAAAGGUGAAAAGCACCCCGGAAGGGGAGUGAAAUAGAACCUGAAACCGUGUGCUUACAAGUAGUCAGAGCCCGUUAAUGGGUGAUGGCGUGCCUUUUGUAGAAUGAACCGGCGAGUUACGAUUUGAUGCAAGGUUAAGCAGUAAAUGUGGAGCCGUAGCGAAAGCGAGUCUGAAUAGGGCGUUUAGUAUUUGGUCGUAGACCCGAAACCAGGUGAUCUACCCUUGGUCAGGUUGAAGUUCAGGUAACACUGAAUGGAGGACCGAACCGACUUACGUUGAAAAGUGAGCGGAUGAACUGAGGGUAGCGGAGAAAUUCCAAUCGAACCUGGAGAUAGCUGGUUCUCUCCGAAAUAGCUUUAGGGCUAGCCUCAAGUGAUGAUUAUUGGAGGUAGAGCACUGUUUGGACGAGGGGCCCCUCUCGGGUUACCGAAUUCAGACAAACUCCGAAUGCCAAUUAAUUUAACUUGGGAGUCAGAACAUGGGUGAUAAGGUCCGUGUUCGAAAGGGAAACAGCCCAGACCACCAGCUAAGGUCCCAAAAUAUAUGUUAAGUGGAAAAGGAUGUGGCGUUGCCCAGACAACUAGGAUGUUGGCUUAGAAGCAGCCAUCAUUUAAAGAGUGCGUAAUAGCUCACUAGUCGAGUGACACUGCGCCGAAAAUGUACCGGGGCUAAACAUAUUACCGAAGCUGUGGAUUGUCCUUUGGACAAUGGUAGGAGAGCGUUCUAAGGGCGUUGAAGCAUGAUCGUAAGGACAUGUGGAGCGCUUAGAAGUGAGAAUGCCGGUGUGAGUAGCGAAAGACGGGUGAGAAUCCCGUCCACCGAUUGACUAAGGUUUCCAGAGGAAGGCUCGUCCGCUCUGGGUUAGUCGGGUCCUAAGCUGAGGCCGACAGGCGUAGGCGAUGGAUAACAGGUUGAUAUUCCUGUACCACCUAUAAUCGUUUUAAUCGAUGGGGGGACGCAGUAGGAUAGGCGAAGCGUGCGAUUGGAUUGCACGUCUAAGCAGUAAGGCUGAGUAUUAGGCAAAUCCGGUACUCGUUAAGGCU